rnacentral:rRNA from 1 species
UGGGGAAUUUUGGACAAUGGGCGAAAGCCUGAUCCAGCAAUGCCGCGUGUGUGAAGAAGGCCUUCGGGUUGUAAAGCACUUUUGUCCGGAAAGAAAUCCUUGGCUCUAAUACAGUCGGGGGAUGACGGUACCGGAAGAAUAAGCACCGGCUAACUACGUGCCAGCAGCCGCGGUAAUACGUAGGGUGCAAGCGUUAAUCGGAAUUACUGGGCGUAAAGCGUGCGCAGGCGGUUUGCUAAGACCGAUGUGAAAUCCCCGGGCUCAACCUGGGAACUGCAUUGGUGACUGGCAGGCUAGAGUAUGGCAGAGGGGGGUAGAAUUCCACGUGUAGCAGUGAAAUGCGUAGAGAUGUGGAGGAAUACCGAUGGCGAAGGCAGCCCCCUGGGCCAAUACUGACGCUCAUGCACGAAAGCGUGGGGAGCAAACAGGAUUAGAUACCCUGGUAGUCCACGCCCUAAACGAUGUCAACUAGUUGUUGGGGAUUCAUUUCCUUGGUAACGUAGCUAACGCGUGAAGUUGACCGCCUGGGGAGUACGGUCGCAAGAUUAAAACUCAAAUGAAUUGACGGGGUCAUAGCUGUUUCCU